GGACUUUCAAGUAAGGGAGAAGUUAAUCAUAAUAAUGUGGACGUGUACUGUAAAUUCUGCAUUCUCAAUGUGGCUUGAUAGAGGGCUACUACACAGUGAGCUUUAGUGGUUAUAGUGUUUAGUGUGCCACUUCAAUUAAAAAAAUUACACACAAAGUUAGGCUUUCUACCAGUUUCUCUAUUUUUUCCCCUAGAUUUCAAACCAGAAAAAAAGAGCAUUAAUAGGUUUCAAGAUAUCUAGUCCUCAACUCGCUAAUCUUCUUCUCUAACAUUCCUUAACUCCUUAACUUAAAUGGUGGCAUAGAUGUAUGUGUCUGGCCUAAGCGUUAAAGGUAAACAUUAGAGUGCAAUGUUCUUGAUGUUAGGUAAACCCUCUUCUGGGCAUAUCUCCUGCUUGAAUUCAGCCUAAGAGAAAGCAAUGUCUGUAGGGGGGAAAAGGGAUGCGGGGCAGAUUCCAUGUGAGAGGAGCAGCAGCAGCACAGAGAGAAAGAGCCUGAAUUAUGUAUUACAGGUGUUUUGGGCAAUAUAAGAAUGGAGGGACAGAGAACAGAUAUG